rnacentral:rRNA from 1 species
AACAAUGGAUCUCCUUGGCUCUCACAUCGAUGAAGAACACAGUGAAAUGUGAUAACGUAAUGUGAAUCGCAGAAUCCCAGUGAAUCAUUAGAAUCUUUGAACGCACCUUGCACCUUUUGGUAUCCAAGAGGUACACCCUGUUUGAGUGUCAU